UACACUCCUACGGGAGGCAGCAGUGGGGAAUUUUGGACAAUGGGCGAAAGCCUGAUCCAGCAAUGCCGCGUGCAGGAUGAAGGCCUUCGGGUUGUAAACUGCUUUUGUACGGAACGAAAAAGCUCCUUCUAAUACAGGGGGCCCAUGACGGUACCGUAAGAAUAAGCACCGGCUAACUACGUGCCAGCAGCCGCGGUAAUACGUAGGGUGCGAGCGUUAAUCGGAAUUACUGGGCGUAAAGCGUGCGCAGGCGGUUAUGUAAGACAGAUGUGAAAUCCCCGGGCUCAACCUGGGAACUGCAUUUGUGACUGCAUGGCUAGAGUACGGUAGAGGGGGAUGGAAUUCCGCGUGUAGCAGUGAAAUGCGUAGAUAUGCGGAGGAACACCGAUGGCGAAGGCAAUCCCCUGGACCUGUACUGACGCUCAUGCACGAAAGCGUGGGGAGCAAACAGGAUUAGAAACCCUGGUAGUCCCAUG
rnacentral:rRNA from 1 species